rnacentral:rRNA from 1 species
UAGGGAAUCUUCGACAAUGGACGAAAGUCUGACCGAGCAACGCCGCGUGAGUGAAGAAGGUUUUCGGAUCGUAAAACUCUGUUGUUAGAGAAGAACAAGGACGUUAGUAACUGAACGUCCCCUGACGGUAUCUAACCAGAAAGCCACGGCUAACUACGUGCCAGCAGCCGCGGUAAUACGUAGGUGGCAAGCGUUGUCCGGAUUUAUUGGGCGUAAAGCGAGCGCAGGCGGUUUCUUAAUUCUGAUGUGAAAGCCCCCGGCUCAACCGGGGAGGGUCAUUGGAAACUGGGAGACUUGAGUGCAGAAGAGGAGGGUGGAAUUCCAUGUGUGGCGGUGAAAUGCGUAGAUAUAUGGAGGAACACCAGUGGCGAAGGCGGCUCUCUGGACUGUAACUGACGCUGAGGCUCGAAAGCGUGGUGAGCAAACGGG